GGCUGUGCAGUGAGCAUAGAGCAAACUAUUCUUUCUCCUUUUACUAAAGAAUACCGUGUGCUCGUCGCUUAUGGCAAUCUAUGCCUAUUUUUGGAGGCCAAAUUCCUUUAUAGGAAUG